CCUACGGGGGGCUGCAGUGGGGAAUAUUGGACAAUGGGGGAACCCUGAUCCAGCCAUGCCGCGUGUGUGAAGAAGGCCCUCGGGUUGUAAAGCACUUUCAGUGAGGAAGAACGCCUGGUGGUUAAUACCCAUCAGGAAAGACAUCACUCACAGAAGAAGUACCGGCUAACUCCGUGCCAGCAGCCGCGGUAAUACGGAGGGUGCGAGCGUUAAUCGGAAUUACUGGGCGUAAAGCGCGCGUAGGUGGCUUGAUAAGCCGGUUGUGAAAGCCCCGGGCUCAACCUGGGAACGGCAUCCGGAACUGUCAAGCUAGAGUGCAGGAGAGGAAGGUAGAAUUCCCGGUGUAGCGGUGAAAUGCGUAGAGAUCGGGAGGAAUACCAGUGGCGAAGGCGGCCUUCUGGACUGACACUGACACUGAGGUGCGAAAGCGUGGGUAGCAAACAGGAUUAGAUACCCCAGUAGUC
rnacentral:rRNA from 1 species